rnacentral:rRNA from 1 species
UCGAGAAUCUUGGGCAAUGCGCGAAAGCGUGACCCAGCAAUGCCGCGUGUGUGAUGAAGGUCUUCGGAUUGUAAAACACUGUCUCCCGUGACGAUAAUGACGGUAGCGGGGAAGGAAGCCACGGCUAACUACGUGCCAGCAGCCGCGGUAAUACGUAGGUGGCGAGCGUUGUUCGGAUUUAUUGGGCGUAAAGGGUCUGUAGGAGGUUUAUUAAAUUCGAGGUGAAAUCCCAAAGCUCAACUUUGGAACUGCCUUGGAGACUGAUGAACUAGAGUACUGGAGAGGUAAGCGGAAUACCAGGUGUAGCGGUGGAAUGCGUAGAUAUCUGGUAGAACACCAAGAGCGAAGGCAGCUUGCUGGACAGUUACUGACUCUGAAAGACGAAAGCGUGGGGAGCAAACA